UACGGAGGAUCCAAGCGUUAUCCGGAAUUACUGGGCGUAAAGAGUUGCGUAGGUGGCAUAGUAAGCAAAUAGUGAAAGCGUGGGGCUCAACCCCAUAUCCAUUAUUUGAACUGCUAAGCUAGAGAAUGAGAGAGGUGGCUGGAAUUCCCUGUGUAGGAGUGAAAUCCGUAGAUAUAGGGAGGAACACCGAUGGCGUAGGCAGGCCACUGGCUCAUUUCUGACACUAAGGCACGAAAGCGUGGGUAGCAAACGGG
rnacentral:rRNA from 1 species